AUACGGAGGGUCCAAGCGUUAUCCGAAUUCAUUGGGUUUAAAGGGUCCGCAGGCGGGAAAAUAAGUCAGUGGUGAAAGCCUACAGCUCAACUGUAGAACUGCCAUUGAUACUGUUUUUCUUGAGUAUAGAUGAAGUGGGCGGAAUAUAUCAUGUAGCGGUGAAAUGCAUAGAUAUGAUAUAGAACACCGAUUGCGAAGGCAGCUCACUAAACUAUUACUGACGCUCAGGGACGAAAGCGUGGGGAGCGAACAGGAUUAGAAACCCUAGUAGUCC
rnacentral:rRNA from 1 species